UUUCCUUUUCAUGAAAAUUUCUGACUCCACUGUUACGAUGGCAUUACAUUACAAGGCAGCCCAGUACAUUCCAGUUAAUUAUUUAAAUCUUGAAACAGGUUGAUCUUGAAACUUAAUCUUAUUUUUGUGUAACUAGGUUCUUUUACCUCUCGAAAAUAACCAUAAUAAUGUCAUUGUUUUGGCUACCAGAUCAAAAUUGCAAUUACCUAAAUAUUGUAGUCGAUACUGUAUUUUACAUGUUUUUACCAUCAUAGGUCAUUAAAACAAUCCCUAAAUGUUUUGUUAAGAGCCAUUUUACAUUUUCGUGCGAAUUUCUAAGAUUUUGGAAGCAUGAAUUACUAUCUUAAGCAACAUCCAGAGAUUAUUUAAUAACUGCGAAAGAUAGGUCAAUCCUUGUUGUUGACCAUUAAUGAAACGGAUUUACUAAAACUCUUUUGCUUAAUUCACAGUGCCCCAUCUCCCACAACCAUUUUACGAAAAAAUUGCCGCAGACUCAUUUUCAAAGUCCUGUAUCUAUUAUUUAUGCUCAUAUAAUAAGCUUAAAAAUAUAUAGUAAUCAUCGGACAUAUAUUCUUGUAGUCCAUUAAUGAAAUAGAUUCUUGAAUUUCAUUACCAUUAUUGAGUAAAAUCUAAAAAUAAUUUGGCAAAUUUGAAGAUUAACGUCACAUUUUGAUCGUGGUUUUUGGUUUAAAAACACAGCAAUAACUGCAAUAAAAGUAUCCCAAAAUAAAGAAUUUUCAUUGUAGAAUUAAUUUCUACAGUUAUUGUUUAAAUAUUAGUAACCACUUUGUCAAAAUAUUGAUGUGAAUAUCAGUAUAAAUUACAAUGCGCAAGCCGACAUCGAUUAGUAUGGCGCGAGCGCCCGUCAAGGCAAGACCUGUGUCAUUUUUCCCGCCGUGACGUUUACGUGCGUUCGUGUCGUAAAGCGGUGAUUUGUACGGCGACCAAAUACAUUUGAUACUAUGCCGAGAGGCUGUUUCGAGUCGGCCGGCCGAGCAGAAAUUGAAAUGAUGAAUUUUAAUUUCUUUGACGGAUCUGGGUGUAACUAUGUAUAAUAUGUAGGUACCAUGUAUUUAAUUUAAUAAAUAAAUUAUAAAAAAGUAUUGGCUCUGUGCACGAUUACAGCGCCAACUAGCGUCCACAACUUUGUGUGCUCUGUCACAUUGACAUUUAGGUCGUAUAUUUGUGAAAAAAUAUCGAAAUGAAAAAAUAACAAAUAUUUUCAACUAAUAAAUUGUUGUGAUACCACGAUUUGGGUGGAAAAAAGGUUUUGAAAUAAUUUUGGUCAUUCAAAUCAAAUGAGAUCGAAAUGAGUAUUGUUUUGAAGACCGGGUUUGUGAGUUUUACAAUAUCAAAUUCCAACCACAAACCGUAUUUAAAGGAAAGUUGUUGGUAUUGGCUGGACAAGUCCGAGAUGUAGAAGAAUUAAAAACAAAACAAGGGCAAAGUUCAAUAAUUCACGCUCUCAUCAUAAGGCAAACAUCUGUGCACAACAACUACAGUGACUCAUUUUUGUACUACCACGUUGUAUAGUCUAGUUAUUUCCAAAUUGUAAACGGCUAUUAAACCAGCCCUAUCGAAAAACA